GUGUUCUUUGCCUGGGUAGAAUCCCACAACUAACUCUGCUAUUGCACUCUUUGCCAAUUACUCUUGGAACUUUUUUUACCUGCCAUCCUCAGCAAGCCUCUAUCUCAAGAUACCAAGAAACUUUCACCCGGACAUACCCUGUGUUCUUUGCCUGGGUAGAAUCCCACAACUAACUCUGCUAUUGCACUCUUUGCCAAUUACUCUUGGAACUUUUUUUUACCUGCCAUCCUCAGCAAGCCUCUAUCUCAAGAUACCAAGAAACUUUCACCCGGACAUACCCUGUGUUCUUUGCCUGGGUAGAAUCCCACAACUAACUCUGCUAUUGCACUCUUUGCCAAUUACUCUUGG